GACGAACGCUGGCGGCGUGCUUAACACAUGCAAGUCGAGCGGAAAGGCCCUUCGGGGUACUCGAGCGGCGAACGGGUGAGUAACACGUGAGUAAUCUGCCCUUGGCUUUGGGAUAACUACCGGAAACGGUGGCUAAUACCGGAUACGACAACCGUCUGCAUGGGCUGGUUGUGGAAAGUUUUUUCGGCCAGGGAUGUGCUCGCGGCCUAUCAGCUUGUUGGUGGGGUAAUGGCCUACCAAGGCUUCGACGGGUAGCCGGCCUGAGAGGGUGACCGGCCACACUGGGACUGAGACCCGGCCCAGACUCCUACGGGAGGCAGCAGUGGGGAAUAUUGGACAAUGGGCGGAAGCCUGAUCCAGCAACGCCGCGUGAGGGAUGACGGCCGUCGGGUUGUAAACCUCUUUCAGUACCGACGAAGCGCCGAUGAUGGUGGUGACGGUAGGUACAGAAGAAGCACCGGCCAACUACGUG
rnacentral:rRNA from 1 species